AGCCUGAACGCUGGCGGCGUGGCUAAGACAUGCAAAUCGUACGGACCCGCAAGGGUCAGUGGCGAACGGGUGAGUAAUGAAUCGCUAAUGUGCCCCGGACUCAGGGAUAGCUACUCGAAAGGGUAGGUAAUACCUGAUGACAUAACCUUGUCGCAUGGCAGGGUUCUCAAAGGUCCGCCGGUCUGGGAGCAGGCGAUUUCGAUCAGCUAGUUGGUGAGGUAACGGCUCACCAAGGCGACGACGCGUAGCCGGACUGAGAGGUUGGCCGGCCACAUUGGGACUGAGACACUGCCCAGACUCCUACGGGGGCUGCAGUAACGAAUCUUCCGCAAU
rnacentral:rRNA from 1 species